UACGUAGGCAGCGAGCGUUGUUCGGAGUUACUGGGCGUAAAGGGUGUGUAGGCGGUUGUUUAAGUUUGGUGUGAAAUCUCCCGGCUCAACUGGGAGGGUGCGCCGAAUACUGAAUGACUUGGAGUGCGGGAGAGGAAAGUGGAAUUCCACGUGUAGCGGUGAAAUGCGUAGAGAUGUGGAGGAACACCAAUGGCGAAGGCAGCCUUCUGGGCCAACACUGACGCUCAUGCACGAAAGCGUGGGGAGCAAACAGG
rnacentral:rRNA from 1 species